rnacentral:rRNA from 1 species
UGAACGCUGGCGGCGUGCCUAAUACAUGCAAGUCGAGCGAACGGACGAGAAGCUUGCUUCUCUGAUGUUAGCGGCGGACGGGUGAGUAACACGUGGAUAACCUACCUAUAAGACUGGGAUAACUUCGGGAAACCGGAGCUAAUACCGGAUAAUAUUUUGAACCGCAUGGUUCAAAAGUGAAAGACGGUCUUGCUGUCACUUAUAGAUGGAUCCGCGCUGCAUUAGCUAGUUGGUAAGGUAACGGCUUACCAAGGCAACGAUGCAUAGCCGACCUGAGAGGGGAUACGGCCAACCGGGACCUGGGACACGGCCCAACCCCCUACGGGGGGCAGCAUGAGGAAAUCUUCCGCAAGGGGGGAAAGCUUGACGGGGCAACGCCGGUGAGUUGAUAAAGGGCUUCGAAUCGUAAACCGCUUUUAUAGGGGAAAAACAUUUUUGUAGGUAACGGUGCCCCUUUGGACGGUACCAAAUAAAAAAGCCACGGCAAACUACGG